GCAUGAAUAAUCCGAAGUAUUUAUCUGUAUUGACAUGUAUAAUGCAUCAAGUUAGGCUUUUUUAUCUCUAAGGGGUAUCUGUUCCCCUAACCCCAUCCAAGGUAUCUGUUUCCCCCUCUCCCAACUUGUUUAAAAAAAUAUAAGAGGACCGCUCCCUGUGGAUGACGGUGUACCCUCUAAUGAGAUUAGUGACACAAAUAUCUAUUAGGGAUCACCUUUAUCUAAGUAGUCUCG
rnacentral:lncRNA from 1 species